rnacentral:lncRNA from 1 species
UGUAAAUAGGAGUUAAUUAAAUGGCUGCUCACUGAAUUUUACCAUUGGUUACCACUUGCUCACUAAAGAAUAAAUGGUAACUGAAUGCUCACCCAACUUUUCAUUAAUUUACCCAUUCAUCACUAGAUCUAAAUCCGUCUGUACAGUUAGCCAAUAAAUUCCACGUAGAUAUAAAAAAUGACUUGGACGAUGAAUUAAUUCCCCGUCAUCUAAAAUUAUUAUUUUUUAAAUCCCAAAAUCAUAAAUUAUUAACAAUUGUUUUUUGGAAUGCCAAAAUCACAGUUCUAAGAAAUCAGAGAUGAAAUUUAUCCCCAAAUCAUCUUCAUCUUCAUCUUCAAAUCACAUCUUCUAAUCUAACUCAUUCAAUUGGUAAUUUCAGCUUUGUAAUCCAUAUCCAAGAAGUUCUAUAUCCACAUCCCAAUUAAUUGAAAUUUACACUGCACGGUUCAUUCCAAUCGUCUGCGUCGUUCUUGAUAAAAAAUAAAAAAUAAAAAAAUUUGGUUAUAUGAUUCAUCUACAAUUAAAUCUGCAUGAUGAAAUUUCAUAAGAAGAUGGAGGUGUGAAGUCUGCAUCAAUUCACUGACGACCUUUGGCAAAUUGCAGCUUUGGAUAUGGCUUGAUGAGUUCAUUCGAAAAAAAAAGAACCGAAAAGUAAAAUUGUGAGGAAUCAAUUCGAUUUUCUUCCUCAGUUUUCCUUGCUGAGGCUUCUUUCUCAAAGAAUCGAUCAUUGAAUGCUGAAUUAUUGCUGCAAUACUAGUAGAAUAUAAGCCCGUCUCCUUUACUUCUUCAAUACCGGCAGAUAGAAGCCAAUCUCAUGAUUCGGAGAAGUGGAUGAAGAGAUUUUAUUGACGAAUUUGGUUCUUCAUAGGGUUAGGUUUCAAUUGGGGAUUUCAGAUUUCUCUCUUCUAUGGAGAUCAUCAUUUUUGAUGGAAAAUGGAAUAAAAUUGCUAUUUUAACAAUUGCAUUCUUAUCCAACGUGUAUUCAACUAACUUAAAAAAUAAUAAUUUUAGAUGACGUGGGAUUAAUUCAUCGUCCAAGUCAUUUUUUUAUAUCUACGUGGAAUUUAUUGGCUAACUGUACAGACGGAUUUAGAUCUAGUGAUGGAUGGGUAAAUUAAUUGAAAGUUGAGUGAGCAUUCAGUUACCAUUUAUUUUUUGGUGAGCAAGUGGUAAUCAAUGGUAUAAUUCAAUGAGCAUCCAUUUAAUACGAGAUCCACACAAGAGAUACAAAGUCAAAUAUGGUGACUUGAUGUAUUGGAUAACGAUCAUAUUUUUUAUUUCUGUAACCAAAGAAUGAAAAUCAAAUGUGGGCUUAGUUUAAAGUUUGGUUAGAAAUAACUCAAAUCAAUUAAUUCUUUCAUGUUUUGUUUUUCAAUUACGAACUUAUGAUUAGCAUUCUUGUAGAAUAGGACUUAGUAGGAUAAUCUAUUGACAAAAUCAUAUAAAUCAUAUACAUUUCAAUAGAUUGGGAAAUAUAUUCAAUUAUCUAUUUCUAUUUAUUUAUAAAUUAAAAUCUUCCCAAACGGAUGCUAAUUACUCAUUUCAUUUAUUUAUAAAUUAAAUUCUUCCCAAACGAAUGUUAAACCUAUGUUGGUCUAAUGUUUAUAAACGAUAAACUUACUUUUUAUCCACACAUUUUGAAAAAAUCACAAAUGCUACCUACUUAUCCACCACUCAGUCUUAUCUAUUUGUUAAUUAAACUGUUUAAACACUACCAAACUUUUUAACUAGGUUUCAUUAUGAUCGACUCCAAGAUAGUCAGUCAUAAAUCAAAUCAUUUGUCAAUUUAAUAACUUUUUACUUGAUGAAUAAACCAUCCACAAGGAAAUAUAAAUUAAAAGUACAUAAUGAGCAAAAUAUUAAUGAAAAAUAUUUUCUAAAUGUAAAUAUGCAUUUUCUUGAGAAAAGUAUGAAUCAUUCAAAAAUCAAGAAAAAAUAUUCGAUUUGUACAUAAUUUGAUUGUGCUCCUAACUCAAAAUAUCUGCGUCCGCUCCUACUAGCAAGUACACAUAAGUAAAAAUAUUAAGCUUAGUACAUGCUUCUGUAUUUACAUACGAAGAUAAAUAAGUCAUUAUUCACACAUUUAAGCAAAAAGACGAAAAAUGUAACAGGUUAGAGACUUAGAAGAUAAGAGGAAAAGGUAAUGAAAAAGCUUUGUGCAAAAGAGCUAAAUUCAAAUAUAUGCAGAAGAGGCCAGCCACCAUUACCUGAGGCGAGUUAUCUAUUAUAAUAACACGUGUCAAAUGAUGACCAAGAACUGAUAAAUCUUUGAGAAAAUUUCCAUCAACAAGCAGGCAAGAAUUUCGAUAAAUGUGAUGUCGAAAUAUUUUCUCUUAGAGUCUAGCACAUUCAGAAAUGCUUUGACUAGCAGUAAAUAUGAGCAGUGCUACUUAUAUAUAAUGAUUUACAUACUGAUUAUGUGUCAAAAAGAGAAUGAGAAACUUUUUUUUUAUUUGGUUGAAGAAAUUUUGAUCGAAUCAUAUCUUACCAAAUCAUGUGUAUAUAAAUCAUUAUAUUCCGGGUGGUGAGCUAGGAGGGAAGACCGUCACUCCUCAGAAUUACUCAGACAAAGUUUGGACACCUGAAUUAUCAAAAAAAUAAAAUCAUUAUAUUCAUGUAGCACAAUCGAAAUAUAAUAAUUUCAAAAAGACUGGAAACUAUCCCAAAGAAAUCUCUGAGAUGAGGACGGCAUUGCAAAUGUAGUCAUAUAUUGUGCACUCUGUCUGGUCAAAAUUAACAUAGAAUGUGAAAUCUGCAUCAUCAAAUGGUUCGAGUGUGGAGUGCACCAAUGUCUCUAUUUAUAUAAUUGUUUGUUGUUCAAAAUUCGGGCCCCUUCUUUAGGUUGAAAUGUGAAUGAAUUAAUGAUGAUGUUGAAAGACGGCAUUGGAUGAAAAUGAAAGGCAAAGUUGGGUCAUUUCUACUUAAUUAUGCUUAAGCACAAGCUAAAUGGCCAUGUGUAAGCACAACUUUGUCUGCAGAAAACAGAAUCAAUUUUGCCUCUACUAUGCGUAUGCAAGGAUAUAACCAUGCGUAUGUAUAGUUCAAAAAUCUAGUCGUUGGGCUGGUUUUUCAUUUGAAUUUCUGGUAUCUUUUGAUGAAAAGUUCCCAAUGUUUUAUGAGUGUUUGAAGCCUUUUCGUGGUAUAAUGUUAGAAAUCUAUAAAUAGAUGAUAGAUUUUCAAUUCCAAAUAUAAGAAAAUAACAUACGAUAUCAUCAUUCACUUUCUACAUUUGAUUUUUCCUCAUUCUAAUACAUAUUUAAACCUUCUUUAAGAUUUCAACAAGUUCGACUCGAAAGAAUCAUUUUGCUUUUAAGCUUCCUUAUUGAAGGCUUGUUAAUGCUCUAAAUUAUUUGUCGAAAAUCCUAAAAGCAUAUAAGCGGAGGCAAAUAUCAUUUUUUAUUCUUAAUUUCUUGUUUCCAUUUCCUUCUUCUCCUCUUCGACUUUUUCGAAACUCUGUCAAGAAUAAUAACUUUGUUAAUUAGCAGAAUUUAGAUUACUAACUGUAUUUAAGAACAAUUUAUUAUAUUUUAUAUCCCGACUAAUAUUAUAUCAACACUGCUAGUGUUUAAUAAUAACUGAUUAUCUUGAAAUGACUUCUUUUAUAAGUUGUCCAAAUAAUAUAAAUUACAAGUUUCUGGUAAAGUCUUUCUUAAAAAAAAAAAAAAAAAAAAAAAACACAGUUACGUAAUGUUUUAUUAACCUUUUAAAGGCAAAUUUGGAGCAAGUUCUUUACAUUUAUCCCACAACUACAAGAAACAAAAACAGUACCUAAGAAAAGGGAAAAUAAUGUGAAUGCCCUUACCGUCCAAGUCAAGGAGUAGAGUUGUUGAUGGACAGCUUCUUGUUUGUUUAGGUAAUAGCACAGACAAAAUGUCAGGACAAUCGGGGACAGGUUAGGUAAAUCUUUAUGAGAAAAAUAUGGAUCAAAAUCAUCAAAUUCUUCACCUUCAGUAUCUUCUUGACAAACAUCAACUGAUAUACGAUCUUGAUUAUUUUCAUCAACACAUUCUAGGUUUGAAUUUUUCAUAGAAAGAUAUAUUGCUGAAACGUCAGAUGAUAGGCCAACACAAUCUCUAUCUGCAUUGCAUGAGCUUACAACAUUAGUAAUGAAGGGAACUUUUGAAUGUUGAUGUAAGCAUAAAGUGCAUGUUCAGUACAAAAUACUUGUAGGAUUGGGUAGUAUAAUAAAUACAGACUUCCCACCAAGUAAGCCAAAAAUGAUUUGACAGUAAUUACGCUCCAAUGGCAAUCAACCUGUAUGUUUUGUUCUCCACAGUCCUGCAGUUGUUGGUUACCAUGCUAAGAUAAUUUAAAUAAGUCUACUGUUGGAAGAGUGCAAAGUAAUACUAGGAAAAAAAACUAUCAAUCUUGUAAAGUACCUGCACUUGAAAUUUCACAUCCAACUUGUGAAAGUAAAUCAUUGCCAUUUUAUCUUAGAUAAUAGUAAGAAAGAGCAUAACAGAAUUCACACUUCCAACCAUCAAACCACUUAGGUUUACCACAGCACUUAAAAUCGAAGUAAAAAUCUAGAAAUGACACCCAUUGAGCAUACUGAAAACAUCUUUUGUUUCUCUUAAUUUUGUGAUUGUGCAUAAGAAGCUUAUAAACCAAAUGUAAAUUAGAUAAAAUAAAACAAAAAUACAAAAUAAAGGGCUAAAUUAACAUCAUAUCUUUCUUUAUCAAGCACAAGAAAAAUAUACUUUGACAGUUAUACAUUUACAGCAGUUUUAAGAGUAAAAAAUUUAUCCUCAAAUUUUUUUUUAGCAUAAUUCAUACGGACCUUUCAAUUAUGUAGCAAAACUCAUCAUUUCCUCAAUUUUGGUAAUUAAAUGACAGAUUUAUCAUUCUUUUAAAUUUUUAAAAAUAAAUAAAUAAAAGAAAGCAGUAAAACAAAACGUAAAAAUUGCAAAUAAAAUGCCAUAAUUUUUCAAAUAUAUAAUAAAUUACACAUACAACAAUUACACAUAUAAUAACAAAAAGGGAACUUAAAAAAUAAAAUAAAAUUAUCUUCCCCUACCAUUCUGACUCACCAACUUUUGUCAACACCUUCCCAUCUUAUUUCCCUCCAAGUUGCAGCCAAACAACACUUCCACAAAUGCAACUGUCGGUUGUACUUUUGCAAUCUAGUUGCUAAUUUUUGUGGGCAGAUGAGCUUGAUUGGGGAAUAUGAAUUUUUUUAAAAAUAUUUGUGUUAAAAUGUAUUUAAUUAUUUUAAGUGUGAUCUAUUUGUACUUUUAAAAAGUUACGGGACUUCAUUUGUAACUUUCUUUAUUUUUAUUGUUUUAUAGCUUUCUUCAUGUUUAUUUUUAUAAAGAGAAUGACAAAAAACUUCAUGAUCAUCCCAAAAAGCACAAACAAGCCAUCAAAUGCCCUAUUGGAUUAAAUGGUUGGGAAUGAAUACCGAAUUAACAAAUACCGUAUAUGCAAUUUAGAUACCGAAUUUACACAUAUAGUAUAUGUAACAUACUGCAUUUAAACAUAUCGUAUCUGCAGCUUACCGUAUAUACAGCCUAUUGUAUAUGUAACAGCUUACCGUAUUUGCAUAUACCGGUCUUACAUAUACUAUAUAUGCAUUGAACUUGGAUACUAACCAAAAUAUAGCAGAUUAAAUUACAAUAAACUGAAUAAAUUAAUUUAGUUCUCCAAAUAAAGAUUAAUUUUUAAUAAAACAAAACAAGUAAACUAAUUAGCCAAAAGCAAGAAAUAUUUCAACCGAGGCUUGUGUGAACACUGUUUCCUGAAAAUAAAUUUAUCUCCCUCAUCGUAGGUGCUUGAGGAUUAAAUCGAACGUUUAUCUCUCAGGAUACAACAGAUGGCCAGUAGGAUUUGAACACCUCAAAUACUACUUUGUCGAACUGAAUUUGUGUUUGAACAAUAUCAUCGACUGUGUGACUAUGCAGUAUGCAGACCAAAAUAUGCAGAAACUAUGUUUUGUAAAUAUGUGCAGAAACUAUAUGCUGCAAAGUUUUCUCUUGUUUUUUCUUCUUGUGUAGAAUUGUUAGAAAUCAGGUUAUAUAUAGGCUCAGCACCAUGAAUGCCAUUAACUCAUAUAUAAUAACAAUGAAUAUUGGAGUUUCAGAAUUCAAAUGGUCAGUUGGAAGAAAAAAAUUAGCAAAACAUAGGCUUUUGUAAAGGGUCAAUUUUCACUUCCAAAGCUUAUUUUAGUUCGAUUUGCCCUUCUGCUCGUGUACGUAGAGAGAGCUUCUAUGCUACAUAUGAUCACACCAUUCCAAUGUGCAAUCCUAUUUAAUGUUAUAUUUGUUUUCAUAAUUUUUCUAUAUGGGACAACCUUAAAUGAUUUCCCUCCAACAACAUAAACUCCUUUUAAUUGACACACUUUGAGCUCCAAUUUCUUAUUUACCUGAAUAUCAUUUUUGGCAAGUAAAUACAUGAUUUCGAUAUUCUCACAGAGGAGAACACAAAUUAAUCUUGAACUUCCCAAAUAACGAACCGGGUUCCUCUCAAAUUUGGUACCAAAGUUAGCCACUCAACCCAUUUUUUUUUCCAACAAUCUCCCAUAUGAAUGAAAAUUGGGAGAGACACAAGACUGUGAAACAAAAGACUUGGUGAUAAAAUUCAACGGUUGAAACCUGCAUAGGAUAGGUAGGUAUUACCCUUUGAACAUUUCUUUGUCAAAAUAUAUUUACUUUAUUAGCUUACCAGUAGAUGCACGAUUUUUGGACUGUUCUUCCGUUGUGUAAAUGAUGAUAUACUAUACACAGGAUUCUUCCUAACACAAUUCUAUUUUCAUUAUUAUGCUCGUUUUGGCCAUGAACAUACACCUAGUUCUGUGAGAGUUUAUAAGAAUUGAGCCCUUACAAUUUUUUUAGAAGCGGCCCCACUUCUCUCUCACAUAGAUGAUUUCUUAUUACAAGUAACUCGUAUUACUUGGCUCAAAUUUUGAUGCAUAAGGAUCAUUAAAAUCCUAUUACUUAUCCUUUAUCUUUAUGGGCAUCAUUGUUACAUCAGAGGAAUGGACAGGAUGUAACAUCCCCCACAAUGAAUUAAUUAAGUCUUUACAAUUAGGUUGUCUCUUUGUACCCAGAUCUUGGGAUCUCCAGUAAACUAGUUUGAGUUUCCUUUGUAAUAACUUAUCCGUUCAAGUGCUUAAGUCCCAUUCUUCUCGAUGAUUUCUCAACUAACUCUCUAUUUAACCCUUUGAUUAGCAGAUCCGCAAUGUUAUCUUUUGACCUCACAUAAUCAAUAGUGAUAACUCCAAUUGAGAUUAGUUGUCUUAUUGUAUUAUUUCUACGAUGCAUAUGUCUAGAUUUAUCAUUGUACAUGUUACUCUGUGCCCUUCCAAUUGCUAAUUGACUGUGACAAUAUAUGUAAAUUGUUGGCACAGAUUUUGACUAUCUUAGAAUAUCCUCUAAGAAGUUGAUUUUAGAUUGAUGUUGACUUGUAUCUAUCGGUGUUCUAGCUAAACCAGUAUCAUUCUUAUUGAACUUUUCUAAGUUUUUGUUCAUAUAAUGCGACUGACUUAGAACAAGCCCAUUUGAUGUUCUUAAAAUUUUGACUCCAAGUAUGACAUCCACUAAAUCAUAUCUUUCAUGUCAAAUCUGGAAUUUAACAUAUCUUUAGUGGAUUUAAACAUCUUAUUGUCAUUGCCAACAAUAAGCAUGUCAUCAACGUAUAGACAUAAAAUGACAUAACAAUCUUCAGUGUCUUUGAUAUAAACAUAUUUAUCACUCUCAUUGAUUUUAAAUCCACUUUCCAUCAUGACAUUAUCAAAUUUUUCAUGCCAUUAUUUUGGUGCUUGUUUCAAGCCAUAUAAUGAUUUAACCAAUUUACAGACUUUCUUUUCUUGCCCUGUGAUAAAAAUAUCUCAAGUUGUUCCAUAUAAAUUUCUUCUUCUAAAUCUCCAUUUCAAAAGACAGUUUUAACAUAUGUACUUUAAGAUUUCGCAGAGCGACAAUUGCAAGUAUCAUCCUAAUACACGUCAUUCCCGUCACUCGAGAAUACGUAUCAAAGUAAUCAAGGUCUUCCCUUUAUUUGUAACCUUUUAUUUCUAAUAUAGUCUUAUACUUUUCGAUAGUUCCAUCUGCUUUCAUUUUUCUUUUGAAAAUUCAUUUUUAGCCUACUGGUUUACUUCAUGGAGGAAAAUCCACUAGCUCCUAUGUAUGAUUUUGUAGUAUGAAAUCUAUUUCACUUUUAAUGACAUCUUUCUAUUGAGGUCCUUCUGAAGAAUUUACAACUUCUUGAUCACUUUGAAGUUCACUUUCUAGCAUGUAAGUCAAAAAAUCAGGACCAUAAGAUUUUUCUAUCCUUUCAUGUCUGCUAGUUCUAACCUCAAUCUCUUCUUCUAAUUCUUGCUCAUAACUAUUUUCAGUCAUAGUAUCUUAUGUUCGUUUAGAGGAGGUUGCUUCCUCUUUGGACUUGUGCGAAAAUACAUGUUCAAAGAAUGAAGUAUUUCUUGAUUUUAAUAUCGUGUUUUUGUGUAUGUCUGAGAAUUUAGAAUCAUACACAAGAAAUCGAUAAGCACUACUAUUAUGUGCAUAGCCAAUGAAGAUGCAAUUUACUAUUUUUGAGCAUAUCUUUACCUUUUUUGGUAUUGGAACAGCCACUUUGGCAAGACAUCACCACACUCAUAAGUAUUUAUAAGAAAACUAUCUUCCUUUCCAUAACUCAUAAGGGGUCUUUUCCAUUUUUUUUCGGGGCAUCUUAUUUAAAAGGUAAUUUGCUGAUAACAUAACUUCUCUCCACAUGUUUUGAGGUAAUUCAGAACUUACUAGCAUUACAUUCAUCAUUUCUUUUAAGGUACGAUUUUUCUGUUUAGUAAUACCAUUUUGUUGCGGAGAAUAAGAUGCAGUGAUUUUAUGUAUGAUUCCAUGGCAAGACAUCACCACACUCAUAAGUAUUUAUAAGAAAACUAUCUUCCUUUCCAUAACUCAUAAGGGGUCUUUUCCAUUUUUUUUGGGGCAUCUUAUUUAAAAGGUAAUUUGCUGAUAACAUAACUUCUCCCCAUAUGUUUUGAGGUAAUUCAGAACUUACUAGCAUUACAUUCAUCAUUUCUUAUAAGGUACGAUUUUUCUGUUUAGUAAUACCAUUUUGUUGCGGAGAAUAAGAUGCAGUGAUUUUAUGUAUGAUUCCAUAUUGUACACAUAAUUCAGCAAAUGAUGCUUCAUACUCACUACCUCGAUCACUUUGCAGCACUUUAAUUUUCUUAUUAAGUUUAUUUUCAACUUUAUUCUUAUAGAGAGCAAAUUUCUCUAUAGCUACGUCUUUACUUUUAAGCAGAUACACAUAACAGUAUUUUGUACUAUCGUUGACAAAAGUAAUAAAAUACUUGUUACCAUAGUUAUUAGACCUGACAUGGAUGUCAACCCGAAUAAUGCGGUGGGUUAAUGAGUUAGUGGUUUAAUCGGUGACCCGGUGCUGAGCCAUCGGGUCAAUUCCUAUCAAAAACUAUUAUUAUCUAUUUUCAUUGAAUAAUAAUUUUUUUUCCAUUUUCUACUAAUAAAUCAUUUUGUAUAGAGCAUGCACCCAAAUCACGACGAAAUGUUUCCAACUCAUCAUCUACCAUAUUCGGUGGAUCCUCCUCUAACACCCAAUUACCAUAAAUGCCAAACCUUUCGAAGUCGAUAGGAUCAUAAUUUCUAUUUUUGAAAUAAUUCCUAAACAAAGUUCAUUAUCCAAUUUAUAAUUAAUCAAAAUAUAAUUCUAGUAAAAGAAAGCAAAAUCUUAAAAUUUAAAAAAAAUCACAAAAAGAUGAAAAGAUUUAUUUAAAUAAAAUUACCGUUGUUGCAAUUGCAAAUUAUAGUGAACAUAAACAAGAUCAGUAAGCCUUUGGUGCUCGAGUCUAUUUCUCUUUUUAGAAUGAAUAUAUUCAAAUAUACUCCAAUUUCUCUCACAACCUGAAGAACUAUAUGUUUGACUUAAUAUUCGAAUUGCAGGUUUUUGUAGAUUUGGUGCACUACUACCAUAACACAUCCAUCAUUCAUCUGUAUCAAAACAAAGAGGAAUUAAAAUAGGCAUAUGUUAAAUAAACCAAAAUCUGAAUAGUCACCAUGUGCUUGCCUAAAUAGUCUCAUUUCACAAGUUUAUUUGCUUCUUAAAUUAGGUUGACCAUAAGCAUAUCUCUUGAUUACAUUUAAAAGUCCUGAAAUAGUAUGUCUAUGAUUUUCCAUAUUAGGAUUAUUGUAUUGGAAAGAAGGGUUUAACCAAUAUCCAGCGACGUGAAGAUUCUUACGCAAUUGGCUAUCCCAUCGAUUCUAAAUAAUUUGCAAAUAAGAAGCCACUCUAUUCUUCCGUCUUUGAAAUUUGCGCUUCAUCUCACUUUUUGCCACAUGAAUAGCUUCAUACAAUUAUCCCAUCAAAGGCCUUUCAUCACUAUCAACAAUUCGUAGAACACGAAUGAGGGGCUCAGUAAGUUGCACCAUAGUAGUGCAUUCUUUCCAAAACACAGAAUCAAGUACUUCAUCAACAAAUCUUUUUUCCUUUACUUUCCUUUGCAUAUGUUGAUAAGUCCAUUCUCUAGUUGUCACCAUUGCUCUUAAUGGAUCUUUUUGUGCCAAUAUGCUUUGUAGAGUAAUAAAGUUAGUGGCAAAAUGAGUAGUAGCGGGUCGAAGUAUUUCCUUUCUUUUGGCAAACUUCCUCAUCAAAUGUAAUGCGUAGUAAUGGUUGUAUAUGUAUUUCGUGAUUUUUGAUGCUUGAGAUACUACAUUACUAACUUCAUUAAGCUUACCAAUAUCAUGAAACAUUAUAUUAAUGCAAUGGGCUGCACAUGGAGACCAAAAUAAUGUUUGAAACUCUUGCUCCAAUAACCUACCAGCGACAACAUAAUUUGCAACAUUGUUCGUCACCAUAUGAACCACAUAUUCUGAACCUACAAAUAAUACAACAUUUCAAAAUAACUUGUAUAACAUGUCAGCACUUUUUGAUUUAUUUGAUGUAUCUGUGGAUUUUAAGAAUAAUGUUCCUUUCAAACAAUAAACUAAAAAAUUAAUAAGAGUUAUUUUACAUUGAUCUGUCUAACAAUCUGCCAUAAUUGUACAACCAGUCGUCUUCAAUGUUGAACGAUAACUUUCAACAUAAUUCUUUACCUUCUAGAUAUUUUUAGCCAACAAAUAACCACGAAGACUGUGAAAGUUCGGGCCUUUAUAGCUAGGACCCAUGCUAGCUAUGACAUCUAUACUUUGUUGAUAAUACACAAAAUUUACAGCAUUGAAAGGAAUACACGAAUCAAUCAUCCAUUUCAAUAUAGUGAAAUCACAUUUCUCUAUAGCUUCUUUACUCUGAAGAACACUUUUGAUUGUUGGUUGAUUACCAAGUCCUGUUCUUGGCAUGAAGUAAGAACCAAUUCCUUUUUGUUCUUUUAAAUCUGCAGUUCUCAUUCCCUUUCUUUCAUUUUUUCCAAUAACUACACCCUUUUCUUUAGAACUAAGAGGGAUGAUUUCUUGAACAUCAUCGUCACCUAAAUCUCUAUACAUUUGCUCUUCUUGUUCUUGAUAAUAAAAAUUAUGUGGGUUACACUCAUCAAAAAUAUCUUUAGUUUCCUGCAUUUUUGCAGCAAAGAUUUCCAAGUUUUCCUUCAUCUUGAAUCUAACAUCAGGAGGUACCCUACGACACGAAUCCACGUCACCUUUUAAUCCCGCUAAAUGUUUUUUGACUUUAUUAAUACCACCUCUAGCGAAAGUCUUACCAAAAUACAAGCAAACAAGUAUUUUUUUUUUAAUAAUUAUUUCCAAUAGAACUAGCUUCAACAUCCCCAUGCUAUAUCUGUUCUUCCUCUAGCACGAUUCUUCGGUAGAGUAGUACUUUGCGGUGUACUAUUAUCAUUUGUGAACUAAAAAAAAAUAAACUCAAAGCAUAUAAAAACAGUGAUCAGCAACAUUAAUGUAAAAUGACACCAAGCCAGCAUAUAUAAAAAGGGAUCAUUGUUAUCCCAUGUUUUGUGAUUAUAUGCAUCUUUAUAUAUAUCAGCUCUACUAGCUGGUUUCCUACCUUCUACCUUUGCCAAGCCCCGACUACAGAGUUUUACUCUACCAUAUUGUUUUCUUUUGUUAAUUUUUAAAUUUGAACAGUCGACCUCUCAAACGGAUGCACAGAACUAAUUAGUUGGUUAAGAAGGAAUCACUAUGCAUGUUAAUAAAAGAAACUAGCUCAGUUAUCGAUUAUUAUUAAUUAGUCCGAUAUGAGGGAUUUCUAACUGUACUUUUACACGUGCACUAUCUUGUCAUGGAAAAGUAACCAUAGCUGAUGGGCAUAAAGUCAAAUACCUGAGUGAAUUUGAAGCUAUGAAAAAAUGAAUGUUGCAUUACUAAUAUUGUAAUGCCCGAAACACUAUAUCAGUUUUGCUAGAAUACUUUGAAAACGGAAUUAUGACCCAGAAAAUUUCAAUUCAAAAAGGGCUGUAAAGACCAAUUCUCCCCAACCGUUCCUUUGUAGUUUCAAAAUAGAAAAUAAAAUGCAAUCAUUCAUAGUCUCAAGACAUAGCUAGCCCAAAAAUUUAUUUAACACAAUAAGUAUUUCAAAUCCACAAGCAAACAUGUGAGGAGAGUUCAAAACCAUAGUGUUGUAUCACUAUGUCAGUAUGUUGUAUGUUUUAGUAAAGUGAAUGGAGCAUUAUCACAAUAUGUAUAAUACACUUCCCAGAAAGCACAUCCAAUUCAUUUAAUAACUUGACUUUAUAUAUAUAUAUAUUUGUGUGUAUGUGUAUGCAUUCUAAUUUCAAAAUCUCAGUUGACAUAAACAAAAGGGGACUAUAUCAUUUGAAUAAUUAGAACAGGUAAAAUACCCAAAAAUUGAAGUCCAUGACAUACACAAAAGGGACUAUUUCAACCAAAAUAAGCAAAGUGAAAGGGGGUAGUUUCAAAGUCGAAGAACAGGUGCAAAAUGGAAAAAAAAAAAAUUGACUUACCUAUUCUUCUUUCAUCUAUUAAAACUUCAAAGUGGAGAUUAGAAUUUUUGGGAGUUUUUGGAUUGCAAAGAGAUUGAGAGACCGGACAGAGUUAUUGUAUGCUUGAAACUUUGAGGAAGCAAGAAGCCCUAACGUGAUUUUGUUGGAAUAAUUAAUAAUUCCAUAUGCGGGCUUCACAUUCGAUUGCAAAAUUUUACGGGUUAGAUAUAUGGCUCAUAAUGAUAUUUGUGUUUGGGCCAAAUUUAUUAAGUGAUCAAUUGGGCCUUUUACACCUUACGGGUUGUAAUUAAUUUGAUGUGGUAAUUUAAAGUAUGUGGACCGGAAAUAAACCCUAAUUAGAAUUCUAGUCGUAAUGGGACGGUUCAAUUAUUUCUUAUAUAUAAAGGCUAGGUCCCCUCUCCUCUCCAUAUGUUUUUAUUGGCUUGUCCCAUUGAUAGCUAUUACUUUGUGAGAAGUAAGGAGGGGAAGAUCUUGGCUACUAUUACAACAAUUAUUCAUAUCAACAAUGGCUUCCGCAGGUAUGAAUUCGAUUUAUCAAUUUAUUAUUAUGUGAUUCUUGUUCUUAGCAUGAUUACAAUAAAAUUCAACAAUUGGUAUCAGAGCCUGCAUGCUAAGAUCAGAUUUAUUCAAAAAUAAAAAAUAAAAAUAAAAUAAUAAAGCAGGAGGUUUGGUAAUCUGCAUUCGGAUUCUGACUGGUAAAAGAAAUUACAUACGAGUAAUAUUCUUGUUAUAAUAAAACUCCUGUUUUGCCUAAUUUAUGUAUUAAAUGAUUGCCAUGUUGUCAGAAUUCUGCCUUGUGUGUCUCAGUUUCAUGAUUUAACACGUAAACCAAUGGAUUUUGAAUUUAAUAAUGAUACACAUGUUGGACAAAAGUUUAUAUAAAUGAGUAUGCUAUAGUUUAUGUGUAUAUGUGGAGAUUCUUUUCGUCCAAAUUUAUUUAUUUGGCUAUUAACGAUUCUUGAAAAUAAAAUUGAAUCCCUAACGUUAGGGAAGUAAUAUUUUAAUAUAAAAGGUACUGGCAAUUAUAGUAUAAUUACAAUAUGUAUACUUAAUUGGUGCCGCAUGUCAAGACGAAAAAUUGGGUCUUCUUUAGGGUUUCUCUGUUAAAAAAGAAAAAAGAAAAAAAAAAGACCCAGUUUCUAUCGUUUUGGGAGAGAUGUAGACGAGGGCUCCUGUUGUAAAUUGUUAAGUUCCUAGCCCCUGUUUGCAAUUACAAAUUGGGGGGGUUAAGUUUGUAAAUAAUAAGUGAAGGGUCUGCUUGUAAUUAAAGAAAAUAAGGACCAGGCACGCAAUUUUAAAUAAUGAAGGACCUUAUUUUAAUUUGUGUUUAGUAUGUAAUUUUCAAUAAGGGGCUCUUAAAUUUGAACUUCUAAACUUUUGACCCUAAAAUUUUAUUUUUGACCAAAUUAAAACUUUAUUUAAACUUGACCCGAUUAAAAUUAUAUGUUGAAUAAAUAAUAAAAUUAAUUGACGACUUUUGUAUUAUUUCAUUAAAAUGUUAUGUAUUGCCAUUAUUUAAGCGUUAAAUUUUAUUUUGAAAUUUUGUUGCCAAUUUCGUCUCUUAAUAUUAAUCACGUAUGUAUUUCUUGUCUUUCAUCAAUUAAUGAUCAUGAUUUGUUGGAUAACUUUUGUGAUUGAAUUUUUAUGAAUUUUGAGAUGAUCCUUAUUUGUCCCCACAAAGAGAAAUAUUUUGAAAUAAAAAUGGGUGGUAGCUGCCAAAGUGGCACACUCAUUAUUAUUUAUUUGAAUUUCUCUACAAUAAAAACACAUAUAUUUUUUCCCAACAACUUUUGAUUUAUUGCAUAUAAUAUCUUAUCCAAAGGUGUUAUUAUAUGUAAUAUUUUUGGAAAAUGGCAUGAGAAAGUUAAUGAGCUUAUUUUGGUUUAGAAAUUUCCUUCUGCCCAAAGGUGUUGGUAUUUCGAAAAUCAGUGUAAUUUUGUUAACUAACUACAUGAUGUGUUUUAAGAGUACCUUAUAACAUGUUGUAUUGUCGAUCCAAAAGUAACUUUAUGAUGAUGUACCUAGACUUUUACCAUAAUAAAAUUCAUAUGUUUCGAUUUAAAUUACGGAUUAUCUAAUUAAUUGCCCAUAUUAAUUAGUUGGAUUUUUCAUCAUCUAUUUGAUUGCAUGCAUUAAGUUUGGAUGAUAUUAAGAGUGAUAUUUUAUGUUUUCACAGUUUAUAAUGCCUCAUCUCUUUCGAAUCAAUUGUCUGCUAUUGAAACUUUAACUGGGAAUAACUAUGUGAGAUGAAAACGAGACGUAGAAAUAGCGCUUGGUCUUUUGGGCUUGGAUUUUGCAAUGGAGAAAAAGCUUGAAAAACCUACAGAUAAGAGUACCGUUGAAUAUGUAGCUGAGCAUGAAAAGUGGGAAAGGGCUAACAAACUCUGUUUGAAAAUCAUUAAGCGAUCAAUAUCUGAUUCCAUUCUAGGUGCCAUCCCUGAUAAUGAAAAUGCCAAAAGUUUUAUGGAUGCCAUAGGAGAAAAAUUUAUUGAGUCUGAUAAAGCUGAAACUGGGGAUCUGAUGGAUAAAUUUAUGAGCGUGAAAUAUGACGGUACAAGUGGAGUUAGGAAGCAUGUCAUGAAAAUGAUAAAUAUAUCAUCUAAACUAAAGGCUCUUGACAUUCCCAUUGCGGAGCCUUUCCUGGUCUAUCAUGUUUUGAAUAGCCUUCCUAGCAAGUUUAAUCAGCUUAAAGUUGCUUACAAUGCUCAGCGGGAUAAGUGGAAUUUGAAUGACCUCAUAGCAGUGUGUGUCCAAGAAGAGUAUAGGAUGCGCCGUGAAACUGUUGAAACUGUGCAAUUAGCUUUUCAGCCAUCACAGAAUAGGGGGCCUUCUCAUAAUCAUAAACCUAAGUUUCGUAAGGGUAAUAAGUCUCACCAAAGUCAACAGAAUAAAAAUUUUAGUGGUCCCAAAGGAGUUAUAAAGAAAAAUGAUCAAUGUAAGUUCUGUAAAAAGAAGUGUAACUGGCAGAAAGAUUGUUUUAAGUUCAAGAAUUGGUUGGAAAAGAAGAAGAGUUCUCUAGGUAUUCCCUUGGCCUUAGUUUGUUUUGAGUCUUCUUUAGCAGAUGUACCUUUGAAUUCUUGGUGGUUAGACUCGGGAGCUAGUAUUCAUAUUGCGAAUUCCUUGCAGGGGUUUAUAAGCAAACGGAGGCCAAGUGAGAAUGAAGUAAGCUUGAUCGUUGCAAAUGGAUUCCAAGUGAAAGUUGAAUUCAUAGGAGUAGUGAAGUUAACUUUAGAGUCUGGUUUUUAUCUUGUUUUGGAAAAUACAGUUUAUGUACCGCAGAUGAGACGGAAUUUAAUUUCUAUACCAAAACUUGAUGCUUGUGGUUUUACAUUUAAUUUUGGUAAUGGAAUGGUUAAGUUAUUUAAUGAUUCUCGUUUGAUUGGAAAUGGCAUUUUAUGUGAUGGUUUAUACAAAUUAUCUUUGGCUUCUUUUGGUGAUAUCUCGUGUGUUACAAAUGUAUUAAAGAAAAGGGCUUUAAUUCGCGAAUCAUCCUCUAUGUUGUGGCAUAAGCGAUUGGGUCAUAUUUCUAAGGAUAGAAUGGAAAGAUUAGUAAAAGAUGAGAUACUUCUUUCCUUAGACUUCUCCAAUUUUGACACCUGUAUAGAUUGUAUAAGAGGAAAGUUAACUAAGUCUACGAGGAAGGGUUCGACUAGGAGUAAUGAAAUUUUGGGGUUAAUUCACACUGAUAUCAGUGGACCUCUGCUUUCCACUAUAUGUGGGAAUAAAUAUUUCAUAACUUUCAUUGAUGAUUUCUCACGAUAUGGAUAUGUUUAUUUGAUUAACGACAAAUCACAUGCACUUGAGAAAUUCAAAGUUUUUAAAAUGGAAGUAGAGAAACAAUGUGGGAAAAGUAUCAAAGUUGUAAGAUCUAAUCGAGGUGGUGAGUACUAUGAGAAAUAUGACGAGUCUGAUCAAAAUAUGGGUGAUUUUGCAAAAUUUUUACAAGAGCGUGGAAUAGUGCCCCAAUACACCAUGCCAGGGACACCUGAGCAGAAUGGUGUUUCUGAAAGACGUAAUCGAACUCUAAAAAAUAUGGUCAGAAGUAUGAUGAGUAGAACAGAUUUGCCUGAAUAUUUGUGGGGUGAAGCUUUGAAAACAGCUAUAUAUAUUUUGAACAGAGUUCCAAGUAAAGCUGUUGCAAAGACACCUUUUGAAUUAUGGACAGGACGUAAGCUAAGUAUGACUAACUUUAAAGUUUGGGGAUGUCCAGCUGAGGUUAGGAUUUAUAAUCCAUUUGAAAAGAAAUUAGACCCUAAAUCAACUCCUGGCUACUUUAUUGGGUAUCCGGAUAGAUCAAAGGGAUAUAAGUUUUACUGUCCAAAUCGCGGUACUAGAAUUUUGGAGUCCAUUACUGCUAAGUGUCUAGAGAACGAUUUUAGAGAUAGUGGGAAUUGCACGUUGAGAGAAAUGCUUGUUGAACCUAAUCAAGUUGUUGUUCCAGUUCCCAUCAUACAGGAAAAAGUUGGUUCCCUACCAAUUGAAGUUGUUAAUGAAGAACCGAGGAACCAGGAGGAAUCUCCAAUUCCUCAAACAACGAUUGAAUCAGUUCCUGAGCCACAAGUUAGGAGAUUGAUAAGUGUGCUUUUACACACUUAUUUGGUUCACAAACAUGACUUAAACAUGGAUAAAAUGGUUGAAUUGUGACUUAAUCCAGUUAAAUUCAUGCAUUGUAGGUAAUUCAAGGGAAAUUGUGGAAUUCAGGAGAAAAGAGCCGAAGAAGGACCAAAACGCAACAAUUUGAUAGUUUGAGGACCAAAGGUGCAAAUAUUGAAAAGUUGAGCUAAAUGCAAAACAAGAUUAAAAACAUGCCAAGUAUGAGCUCAAUGACAAAGCAAAAUAAAUGGAAGAAGAAAGUAUUGAAUAGGGACUGAAAUGAAGACAAUUGAAAGUUGGAGGACUAAAGUGCAAAUACUCAAAAGAUGUGCCGAAUGAGGGGCAUGAGAAUUGAUGGUCUCAAUCAUCAAUUGGAAGAUAAAAUUUGUUGAAAAGAUGAAGAAAUCGAAGAAAGAAGUCAAGAGAAGCAACAAAGAAGUUCAGGGACCAAAUUGAACAAACCACAUAGAUGGUUACUUCUAUGCGACCGCAUAGUGUAACCUUCUAUGCGGUCGCAUAGAAGGCUUCAGGGAUUCAAUGAGUCACAAUAAUUUGAACUAUGCGACCGCAUAGAUUCCUUCUAUGCGGUCGCAUAGUUCGUUUUUGAAACCUCGGGCGUAGUUUUUCGUUUUGGUUGAAACUCCUUUCCUACUUAAUUUGGACGCGAUAUAAAUACCCAAAUUCAUCAUAUGAAGGGCAAGAACGACCAGGGAGAAGGGAGAGACCAAAAUUGGAGGCAAGAAACUUGAUUUUGGAUUCAAUUUCACACGGACUCGAGACGGGAUUGAAGAUUAUACACACGGAUCGAAGAAAUUCCAUACGGGUGUAUUCUUAUUAUCUUUUAAUUUCGUUUUUCAAUUUCUUGAUUUUGCAAUGAUGAUUAUAGGCUAGGGUUUUUGUUCAUUAGGAAUUUGAUGAACCUUUUGAUGAUUUAAAUUUCCGUUAUUUCAUAAAUUCAACAUUAGUUUCGAUUGGACAAAUGUUUGGUUUAUAUGAUUUGAAUGCUUCCAUAAGUAAUUGGCCAAUUAUUAUGUGAUUGUAGAUGAUUUAUUCUUCGCAUUCGAAAGAAGGGGAAUAAAUUCGAUAGAAUAUAAAUCGACAUAGGGUCCGAUAGGGGAUGGAAACUUACCUCUUUGCUUUAUGCAAUUCAUGAAAAUGUUCAUAAAAAGUCAUGCAUUCUUGUACAUUGCAUCAUCCAUAGAAAUAUAGGCUGGUGGUGUGUAAGAGUAGAUUCAAUAUAUAUCGAGAGAGUGUAUUGGAUAAUUUAGGAACAUUGAAUUGGCAUUUUGUUCAUCGAUUCGUUGAAUUUGUGAAAUUAGGGUUUUUAAUAGUCAAUUGGGGAUUCAAGUUCUUAAUGAUUUCAUUUCAAUUCAUUUCAAUACAAUAGUUCUAAAAUUGCAUAUUUACAUUUCAGUUGCGUAUUUAUUUCAUUAGAUUAGUGAAAUUUUGAAAUUAGGGUUUCCAAUUUCGAAAUUAGGGUUUUCUUUGCAAUUAGGGUUUCAAAUUGGGGAUUUCUCCCAAAAUUAGGGUUUUCACAUUUAAACCAAAUUUUCAUUCAAUUAGAUUCGGUUAAGGUCACAUUAGUUUAAUUAGAGCUAAUUUAAUCCUCGUGGGAACGAUACUUGGACUCAUAGUCCACUUUACUACUUGUUAACGAACCGUACACUUGCGGUGGGUUUUAAAAUCGAGAAGAAAUAUUUUGUGAACAAAGAUCACAAAGGGAAAGAAGAUCUGCAUUGCCCAAUGAUUAUAUUGCAUAUUUAUUGGAGAGCGAUUUUAAUAUUAGGCAUAUUGUUGAUCCUAUAAUUUAUAACCAAGCAUUGACAAGUCGUGAUUUAGAUAAUUGGAUAGCUGCCAUGAAAGAUGAAAUGAAUUCCAUGGAAAGGAAUAAAAUUUGGGAUCUUGUUGAACUUCCUUCAGAUGCUAAGGCUGUAGAUAACAAGUGGAUUUUCAAAAAUAAAUUAGAUUCAAAAGGAAAUGUUGAACGAAAGAAAGCAAGAUUAGUUGCAAAAGGUUUCACUCAACGAGAGGGCAUUGAUUAUGUUGAAACCUUCUCCCCUGUUUCGUCGAAAGAUUCUUUUCGAAUUAUCAUGGCUCUUGUGGCACACUAUAAUUUGGAGGUUCAUCAAAUGGAUGUUAAGACAACAUUUUUGAAUGGAGAUCUUUCUGAAAUGGUUUAUAUGAAACAACCUGAAGGCAUUGUUGUAAAAGGAAAAGAAAACUUGGUGUGUAAAUUAAGCAAAUCCUUAUAUGGUCUCAAGCAAGCAUCUCGACAGUGGUAUUUGAAGUUUGAUGAGGUUGUGACAUCUCUUGGUUUUGUCGAAAAUACUAUUGAUCAAUGCAUUUAUCUUAAAACCAGUGGGAGAAAUUUUAUUUUCCUUAUACUGUAUGUUGAUGACAUUCUGCUUGCUAGCAGUAACUUAGGGUUGCUUCAUGAGACAAAGAAAAUGUUGUCUGCUAAUUUUGAGAUGAAAGAUCUUGGAGAACCUUCCUAUGUACUUGACAUUGAAAUACAUCGUGAUAGAAAUCGUGAUUUAUUGGGACUUUCUCAGAAAGCUUAUAUGCGACGUGUUCUAGAAAGGUUUAAUAUGCAAAAUUGUGCACAUGGUGAUGUACCUAUCAUAAAAGGAGAUAAGUUUAAUAAAACUCAAUGUCUAAUGAAUGAGCUGGAAAGGGAGUCUAUGAAGAUGAUUCCAUAUGUUAGUGCUGUGGGAAGCUUGAUGUAUGCUCAAGUUUGCACUAGAUCGGAUAUAGCCUACGCAGUAAGUGUCCUUAGCAAAUUUCAGUCUAAUCCAGGACAAGAACAUUGGAAAGCAGUUAAGAAAGUUAUGAGAUAUUUGAAGAAAACUGAAAGUUAUAUGCUUACAUUCCAGCGUACAAAUCAUCUUGAGGUGGUAGGAUAUUCAGAUUCUGAUUUUGCUGGAUGUCAAGAUGAUUUGAAAUCAACCUCAAGUUAUAUUUUUACAUUAGCUGGUGGUGCCAUUUCUUGGAAAAGUGUUAAACAGACUUUAGUGGCAUCUUUUACUAUGCAAGCUGAAUUUGUGGCAUGUUAUGGGGCUACAGUCCAAGCUGUUUGGUUAAGAAAUUUCAUCUCUGGUUUGAAAGUUGUUGAUUCCAUCUCAAGACCGAUCACCAUCUACUGUGAUAACAGUGCAGCAAUAUUUUUUUCAAAGAAUAAUAAAAGUUCUGGUGGAUCAAAACAUAUUGACAUCAAAUAUUUGGUUGUUAGAGAUAGAGUCAAAGAAGGGCAGACGAAAAUAGAGCAUAUCAAUACAGAGGCGAUGGUUGCAGAUCCCUUAACUAAGGGACUCGCUCCAAAAGUCUUUAAGACACAUGUUACUAAUAUGGGUAUUGUGAAAACAUUUGAUAUUUUUGGUUAGUGGGAGUUAUUUAUGUAAAGAACUACGUUUUAGGCUUGAUCCCUUGCGGGGUACGUAGGCAACCCAUAUGUUUUCGGCUACAGCCCCUUCUAAUAAUAAAAUAAUUUUCCCCUAUCCAUGAACUAUUUUUUAAGCAUGCAUUUGACUUAUAUCUUUUUAUAUUAUUGGUAUCUUGAAAUAUGAUGUAUAAAGACAUAAGAUGAGUCUCUUUUAGAGACAUGUGACUUCAUUUUGAUUCGAAGCAUUAUAAGGACCAAUAUGAGCUAGCACAGUUUUUGAUCACAUUUGGUGCUAAGUUCAUACCACAUACUACCACAUUAGUUGGAGGAUGGGGAUCCAUGUCGAUAAGGAUGUUGACAUUUGUAGCUGUGGAAUGGUCUUACAUCUUUUAAAUUGGUAUAAUGAUUUCCAUGUUCGGUGUUAAUAUUCUUGUUGGACCGGAUCAUGUUACGUAAGGUGUCAUCAUUGGAGCUAUACUUUUGUGGCCACCUAUGUAGUCUAACCCGGGUGUUAAAACUUUGUUAUGUCAAUCAAAUGUUUGCCCAAGUGGGAGAAUGUUGGAAUAAUUAAUAAUUCCAUAUGUGGGCUUCACAUUCGAUUGCAAAAUUUUACGGGUUAGAUAUAUGACUCAUAAAGAUAUUUGUGUUUGGGCCAAAUUUAUUAAGUGAUCAAUUGGGCCUUUCACACCUUACGGGUUGUAAUUAAUUUGAUGUGGUAAUUUAAAGUAUGUGGGCCGGAAAUAAACCCUAAUUAGAAUUCUAGUCGUAAUGGGACGGCUCAAUUAUUUCCUAUAUAUAAAGGCUAGGUCCCCACUCCUCUCCAUAUGUUUUUAUUGGCUUGCCCCAUUGAUAGCUAUUACUUUGUGAGGAGUAAGGAGGGGAAGAUCUUGGCUACUAUUACAACAAUUAUUCAUAUCAAUAAUGGCUUCCGUAGGUAUGAAUUCGAUUUAUCAAUUUAUUAUUAUGUGAUUCUUGUUCUUAGCAUGAUAUACAAUAAAAUUCAACAGAUUUGUGAGGAAAAUUGGGAAGAGAAGAGAACAUUUUAUGAAAGUACUCUACUCGGGUGGUUCAUUUAAAAAUUAGGUUGAUGGGUUACAUAAAAAAUCGACGGUUCAAGGGAUUGGAAGCGGUUCAAUACACAUCAAUAAAUAAGCCUAGCUCGGACUGGAUCUGGGUUCGAUUCACCAGUUUCCAAGCCUAACCGGCCGAUUUAUAAUAACUAUGCUUGUUACCACCUCUUAUUUGCACAAGUUUUAAAUAACAUACGUUGCUGUAAAUUAAAUCAAGUGAUUUUGUAUUCAGUUCAAUUGAUUUGAAUUAUGACCUUGUUAAUUUGUCUCAACACAAGUUUCGCACUUAUUGUUGGAAUCAAUGUGGAACGAGGGUAUGCAUUUCAAGUUAACUAGUUUACAUAAAAUAUCAUAGUUAACAUGUCCUAAUCUAUGAUGCUACAAGUUGGAAGACUUAAACAAGUAAGCAGAAGAAUUUGCUUUAUUUAUUUUUACCAUAACAACCAUUACAUUCAUUUUAAACAAACCAUUGGAAACAUAACAUUUUCCAACAAACAUUUCACCUUUUGACAAAAAAAUUUUGUCUGACGAUAUAAUGCGAAAAUCGCGCUUAUUCAAAAGCAAUCUGGACACAAGACUAUUGCGAAUUUUCGACACAAACAACACAUUGUUAAGAGUCAGCUCCUUUUCCGAGGCUAUCUUUAAAACCACUUUCCUUGACCUUUGAUUUCAGAAGUUGUUGAGUUUCUCAUAAAUAAUUUCUCUCCAUUUUCAAUUGCUUCGAACACAGCAAACAACUAUUUAUUAGAGCAUAUAUGCCAUAGAGCACCGAUGUCAAUCUAUCACUCUUUUGGAUUAGAACCCACAAUGUUGACUUUAGAAAUAAUUGUUGCGAUAUUCAUUUUCGACACAUCAUUUGUCAUGUAAUCAACCAUAUUUGCUUCUUUAUUCUUUUUCUUUGGCAAUCUGCACUCUAAAGUUUUGUGACCUACUUUAAGGUGGUCAGGUAAAAUAACAUUUUCUACUGCCACCUCUUGAAAUUUAAGCUAUUGAACAUCUCUGAUUUUUCUCCAUGAUUAACCAGAAUAGUAAUGGUAUGGAUAGUUGUUGGAGCUACAGUUUGACUCACAACAUGACCUGACAAUUUAGCCACAAUCUGAGCUACAGCAGAGCCCACAAGCUGAAUUCUAGUAGCAAUAGUUUGAUACACAUCUAUAUUGGUAGAUUCGGUUGCCAUUUCUGAAAGACAAACGGAAAAUUAGUUCUAAAUCUGUAUAAGAAAUCAUUUUUUUUAAUCUGUUUUAAAUUUGUUGGAUUAAAUGGUUGGGAAUGAAUACCCGAUUAACACAUACCAUAUAUGCAAUUUAGAUACCAAAUUUACGCAUUUUGUAUAUACAACAUGCCGUAUUUGCAGCUUACCGUAUUUGCAUAUACCAAUCUUGCAUUGAACUUGGAUACUACCCAACAUAUAACAGGUUGAAUUGCAAUAAACUGAAUAAAUUAAUCUAGUUGGCCAAAUAAAAAAAGCUUAAUUUUUAAUAAAACAAAACAAGUAAACUAAGUAGUCAAAAGCAAGAAAUAUUUUAACCGAAGUCUGUGUGAACACAGUUUCUUUAAAAUAAAUUCGUCCCUCAUCGUAGGUGCUUGAGGAUUAAAUCAGACGUCUGUCUCCUAGGAUACAACGGAUGAACAGUAGGAUUUGAGCACCUCAAAUACUACUUUGUCGAACUGAAUUUGUGUCUGAACAAUAUCGUCGACUAUGUGACUAUGAAAUAUGCAGACCAAAAUAUGUCGAAAAUGUGUUUUGUAAAUAUGUGCAGAAACUGUAUGUUGUAAAGUUUUUUUUCCCCUCUUAUUUUUCUUCUUAUGUAGAAUUAUUAGAAAUCAGGUUAUAUAUAUAGGCUCAACACCAUGAAUGCCAUUAACUUGUAUAUAAUGACAAUAAAUAUUGGAGUUUCGGAAUUCAAACGGUCAAUUGGAGGAAAAAAUUAGCAAAACGUAGGCUCUUCUACGGGGCCAAUUUUCAUGUCCAAAACUUAUUUUGGUUCGAUUUGCCCCUUGUGCGAGCAUGUAGAGGGAGCUCCAAUUUUUCAUUCGCCUGAAGAUCAUUUUUGACAAGUAAAUACAUGAUUUCGACGUUCUCAGAGAGGAGAACGCAAAUCAAUCUUGAACUUCCAAAAUAAUCAACGGGGUCCCACUCAAAUUUUGUGCCAAAAUUAAUCAAUCAAACAAUUUUAUUUUCCAACAUGCCAAUGACUAAGUAGGAUAUUCUUUCAAUUUUUGUACUCGUCUUUCAAACGAAGCAAACAGAAACUAUUUACACAGUAGAAUUAACUCUACAGAUACUGUGCAAACUGAAAACAAGCAGAAUUAUUCAUUUGCAGAGCAUAUCGUAAAAGUUUAUUCUUAUAUCUCCUUUAUCACUACUCAUGGAAGUUGUGGUGUCAUAGGCCGUAUCUUAUGGUGAAAAAGGACCCGAAAAAGACGAGACGACUGAAACUGUGUCAUCCCUAAGAUAAGAACCGAAGCCUCUUUGAGCAUAAAUCCUUUGUCUCUGUGCUUUCUUUCCUCCUUUUGUGAAAAAUAAGCCUUGAGUAGGUAAAUUGAUGACAUCUGUUGUACACCAAGGGAAACAUUUCUAUGUAGGGGAUUAGUGUUGCCAAAAACUCCAUUAAUUCUUCUAUCAGAUAGAUGUCGACUACAGGUGCUCGGCCUUGAUCCAAAGGGACUGUCUUGCUCAAUGUUAACUUUAAUCUGCACCUCCGGAAGAAACAACCUCGUCCCAUAUUAGCUAUGCAUUACUCUAUGAGGCAGGACAUUACAAUAAACAAAAUUUUAACUUAUGUUCAGUACUGUUAGUCAUUUGUACAAAGUAUAACUAAAGAGGAACAAAACAACAUUACUCAACCUCUGUCUUUGUUUCUCCUCUUCCUUUUCCUUCCUCAGCAUGUCGUACUCUUCCAGCAUUGCCAGUAGAGGAACCUAGAAUGGCAAACAAUAACGAUUGGAAUUUGAGUACUAUUCUGAANNNNNNNNNNNNNNNNNNNNNGGGGGGGGGGGGGGGGGGGGGGGGGGAGUCGUGGUUCUUUAAAUGAAAGUAGAUAGAUUCUGUCUUUGUAGGCUUUAUAUAGAAGAUUAAGGUCGAUUUCUUUAUCUUUCUCGAUGUGGAACAUGAUAAAAUCAACUCAGGUCACCUUAGUCUUUUGUCAAUCACUUGGAAAUGGCUGCACGAAUUCUUGUGUCCAAUCUUACUAAUCGGUUGCUUUCUUACUAAUUUCUUCAUUUUAUGUUUGAGUAACUCAAAUUAUAAUCCUAAAAUGUGCAUGUAUGAUUCAAUGAGAUGAUAAGAAUUAUGCUUUCAGAUUGCUGCCACAGGUACUUGCACACCUCAUCAUAUAAGAAAACUUUAUUUCUUUCUUCUUCCCAGCUCUUAGUCUUGGAUAUCAGCGAAUCUACCAAAGCUGCCAAGGAAAAAUGAAAAGAAUAUAAGCUUAUUAGGCAUUGGUUAUGGUUUAAGCUCUUCCACAAUUACACUCAAUCUGGACCAAUAAGCAAGUUUUCUCCUUCAAACAAAAUUGAUUCAACUAAUAAAUUGAAAUAUUUUUUCUUUUACCUGGAAUCUUAUUAACCAUUAUUCUUGCACGUUCAGCUCUUUUGAGUUUCUUGUGAGCACCUCUGCUGACUGAAUAUCGGUUCUCAUCCUGUAAUAACCCAUGUUAUAGGCAUCAUGUUAGAGAUUAAAAUUAAGGUUAGACUUGACUAAUUGAGUAUAUAAACGGGAUAAGAAUCUCACCCUGCUAUAGUCAUCCAACCAUUGCUCUUCAUUGCAUGCUAAGAUCCAUUUUUCAAUUUUUUCCAUUAUGGACUUUCGGCUAAAAGCUUCUUCUUCAGCUUUCGAUAUCUGUUCGUUCAUGCUUGUGACGAGAUCGGCAUGAUCAAUCUCCCCUUUAUUGUAUAUUGAAAUUAGUCCAAACAUUUAUAUCGUAGCAGAAAAUGCUACCAAAUCCUUUAAGAGAGUUAGUCUAACCCGAGUUUAGUUGGUUAAUUAUUUUUUCCAUUUCUAAUGUAGAAGGAAUUUCCAUGUGCGACCGACUGCAUAUUUCCUCGAGCUCAGCCCCUUUUUUGAAGAGAAACUCUUUCAUUUUGCUUGCUUUUAAUUGAUCCAGCCUCUUGACUUCAUAUUCCACCUUGUUAAAAUUCGGAUAUGGACAAAAAAAAAAAAAAAAAAAAAUUUAAACGUAUGACAACAGAGAAAAAAAAAAAAAAAAAAAAAAAAAAAAAAAAAGAAAAUUUAAACGUAUGACAACAGAGAACAAUCAAACGGUCUAUUGAGGCAAGGAUUAGAUGAACCGUACUUUCGUUGAAAAAAUUGGUGCAUAAUUAUAUAUCUUUUAACAAAAAAUAUGUGCAUUCAAAUGCGGUAAAAUGGUGACUUACUGGUGCAAAAUAUCGAAUAGAGUUUUGACUUAUUGAAAUCAAGAUACUCGCAUGAAAAUAUGCACAAAUUGCGACUUACUGAAACCUAGAAAUUAGAAGAUGGAAUGAAUGUAGGUAUGUGAAUAUAAAUCUCAUCGAGAUAGAUUUCACCCAUUGCACUGGUGCUAACAAGAUUAAAUGGACGUCUACUUCCCAAAAUACAAUGCUUUUUUCAAAAUUAAUAUAACGCAA